AUUGAACGCUGGCGGCAGGCCUAACACAUGCAAGUCGAGCGGAUGAAGGGAGCUUGCUCCUGGAUUCAGCGGCGGACGGGUGAGUAAUGCCUAGGAAUCUGCCUGGUAGUGGGGGAUAACGUCCGGAAACGGGCGCUAAUACCGCAUACGUCCUGAGGGAGAAAGUGGGGGAUCUUCGGACCUCACGCUAUCAGAUGAGCCUAGGUCGGAUUAGCUAGUUGGUGGGGUAAAGGCCCACCAAGGCGACGAUCCGUAACUGGUCUGAGAGGAUGAUCAGUCACACUGGAACUGAGACACGGUCCAGACUCCUACGGGAGGCAGCAGUGGGGAAUAUUGGACAGUGGGCGAAAGCCUGAUCCAGCCAUGCCGCGUGUGUGAAGAAGGUCUUCGGAUUGUAAAGCACUUUAAGUUGGGAGGAAGGGCAGUAAGUUAAUACCUUGCUGUUUUGACGUUACCAACAGAAUAAGCACCGGCUAACUUCGU
rnacentral:rRNA from 1 species